rnacentral:rRNA from 1 species
ACAUGCAUCUGCUUUUCGGUAGUUUAUCUCAUCAGAACUUCAUAGUUAAGCGUGCUUGACAUGAAUUAAUAUAGCGAUGGGUGACCUUUUGGGAAGUUUCCAGAAAUUAUGUA